rnacentral:rRNA from 1 species
UAAGCAUAUCAAUAAGCGGAGGAAAAGAAACCAACAGGGAUUGCCCCAGUAACGGCGAGUGAAGCGGCAAGAGCUCAAAUUUGAAAGCUGGCUCCUUCGGGGUCCGCAUUGUAAUUUGCAGAGGAUGCUUCGGGAGCGGUCCCCAUCUAAGUGCCCUGGAACGGGACGUCAUAGAGGGUGAGAAUCCCGUAUGGGAUGGGGUGUCCGCGCCCGUGUGAAGCUCCUUCGACGAGUCGAGUUGUUUGGGAAUGCAGCUCUAAAUGGGUGGUAAAUUUCAUCUAAAGCUAAAUAUUGGCCGGAGACCGAUAGCGCACAAGUAGAGUGAUCGAAAGAUGAAAAGCACUUUGAAAAGAGAGUUAAAAAGCACGUGAAAUUGUUGAAAGGGAAGCGCUUGCGACCAGACUCGCUCGCGGGGUUCAGCCGGCAUUCGUGCCGGUGUACUUCCCCGCGGGCGGGCCAGCGUCGGUUUGGGCGGUCGGUCAAAGGCCCUCGGAAGGUAACGCCCCUAGGGGCGUCUUAUAGCCGAGGGUGCAAUGCGACCUGCCUAGACCGAGGAACGCGCUUCGGCUCGGACGC